CGGGUGGCAGCAGUGAGGAAUAUUGGUCAAUGGGCGAGAGCCUGAACCAGCCAAGUAGCGUGCAGGAAGACGGCCCUAUGGGUUGUAAACUGCUUUUAUGUGGGGAUAAAGUGCGUGACGUGUCAUGCAUUGCAGGUACCACAUGAAUAAGGACCGGCUAAUUCCGUGCCAGCAGCCGCGGUAAUACGGAAGGUCCGGGCGUUAUCCGGAUUUAUUGGGUUUAAAGGGAGCGUAGGCUGUCUAUUAAGCGUGUUGUGAAAUUUACCGGCUCAACCGGUGGCUUGCAGCGCGAACUGGUCGACUUGAGUAUGCAGGAAGUAGGCGGAAUUCAUGGUGUAGCGGUGAAAUGCUUAGAUAUCAUGACGAACUCCGAUUGCGCAGGCAGCUUACUGUAGCAUAACUGACGCUGAUGCUCGAAAGUGCGGGUAUCAAACAGGAUUAGAUACCCGCGU
rnacentral:rRNA from 1 species